rnacentral:lncRNA from 1 species
AAAAAUUUGCAACACUGCCAAGGAAGAAAAAUCCAUUUGAAGAAAGCAGCGAAACAUGGGACAGCAGCAUGAAUUUAUUUUCAAAACCAAUUGAAAUAAGAAAAGAAAAUAAAAGAGAGAAAAGGGAGAAAGUUAGCCUGUUUGAAAGAGUGACUGGAAAAAAAGAUAGCAGAAGAUCUGAUAAACUUAACAAUGGGGGAUCUGAUAGCCCUUGUGACUUGAAAUCACCUAAUGCAUUUAGUGAAAAUCGCCAGGACUAUUUUGAUUAUGAGUCAACCAAUCCAUUUACAGCAAAAUUCAGGGCUUCAAAUAUAAUGCCAUCUUCAAGUUUUCAUAUGAGUCCAACAAGCAAUGAAGACCUCAGGAAAAUCCCGCAACCCCUUUGAUGCCACUGCAGGGUAUCGUAGUCUGACCUAUGAAGAGGUUCUACAGGAGCUGGUGAAACACAAAGAACUCCUUAGGAGGAAAGACACCCACAUCCGGGAACUCGAGGACUACAUCGACAACCUCCUUGUAAGGGUAAUGGAAGAAACGCCCAGUAUUCUCAGAGUGCCGUAUGAACCAUCCAGGAAAGCUGGCAAAUUCUCUAACAGUUAAUAAAGCCAAUUGUAUUGUAUUGAUAAUUGGACAAAGAGAGAG